UAUGAGAGUUUGAUCCUGGCUCAGGACGAACGCUGGCGGCGUGCCUAAUACAUGCAAGUCGUACGCUUCUUUUUCCACCGGAGCUUGCUCCACCGGAAAAAGAAGAGUGGCGAACGGGUGAGUAACACGUGGGUAACCUGCCCAUCAGAAGGGGAUAACACUUGGAAACAGGUGCUAAUACCGUAUAACAAUCGAAACCGCAUGGUUUUGAUUUGAAAGGCGCUUUCGGGUGUCGCUGAUGGAUGGACCCGCGGUGCAUUAGCUAGUUGGUGAGGUAACGGCUCACCAAGGCCACGAUGCAUAGCCGACCUGAGAGGGUGAUCGGCCACAUUGGGACUGAGACACGGCCCAAACUCCUACGGGAGGCAGCAGUAGGGAAUCUUCGGCAAUGGACGAAAGUCUGACCGAGCAACGCCGCGUGAGUGAAGAAGGUUUUCGGAUCGUAAAACUCUGUUGUUAGAGAAGAACAAGGAUGAGAGUAACUGUUCAUCCCUUGACGGUAUCUAACCAGAAAGCCACGGCUAACUACGUGCCAGCAGCCGCGGUAAUACGUAGGUGGCAAGCGUUGUCCGGAUUUAUUGGGCGUAAAGCGAGCGCAGGCGGUUUCUUAAGUCUGAUGUGAAAGCCCCCGGCUCAACCGGGGAGGGUCAUUGGAAACUGGGAGACUUGAGUGCAGAAGAGGAGAGUGGAAUUCCAUGUGUAGCGGUGAAAUGCGUAGAUAUAUGGAGGAACACCAGUGGCGAAGGCGGCUCUCUGGUCUGUAACUGACGCUGAGGCUCGAAAGCGUGGGGAGCAAACAGGAUUAGAUACCCUGGUAGUCCACGCCGUAAACGAUGAGUGCUAAGUGUUGGAGGGUUUCCGCCCUUCAGUGCUGCAGCUAACGCAUUAAGCACUCCGCCUGGGGAGUACGACCGCAAGGUUGAAACUCAAAGGAAUUGACGGGGGCCCGCACAAGCGGUGGAGCAUGUGGUUUAAUUCGAAGCAACGCGAAGAACCUUACCAGGUCUUGACAUCCUUUGACCACUCUAGAGAUAGAGCUUCCCCUUCGGGGGCAAAGUGACAGGUGGUGCAUGGUUGUCGUCAGCUCGUGUCGUGAGAUGUUGGGUUAAGUCCCGCAACGAGCGCAACCCUUAUUGUUAGUUGCCAUCAUUCAGUUGGGCACUCUAGCAAGACUGCCGGUGACAAACCGGAGGAAGGUGGGGAUGACGUCAAAUCAUCAUGCCCCUUAUGACCUGGGCUACACACGUGCUACAAUGGGAAGUACAACGAGUUGCGAAGUCGUGAGGCUAAGCUAAUCUCUUAAAGCUUCUCUCAGUUCGGAUUGUAGGCUGCAACUCGCCUACAUGAAGCCGGAAUCGCUAGUAAUCGCGGAUCAGCACGCCGCGGUGAAUACGUUCCCGGGCCUUGUACACACCGCCCGUCACACCACGAGAGUUUGUAACACCCGAAGUCGGUGAGGUAACCUUUUGGAGCCAGCCGCCUAAGGUGGGAUAGAUGAUUGGGGUGAAGUCGUAACAAGGUAGCCGUAUCGGAAGGUGCGGCUGGAUCACCUCCUUUCUAAGGAA
rnacentral:rRNA from 1 species